rnacentral:lncRNA from 8 species
UGCCGGGACAACGGAGAGCAGCGCAGCGAGCACCAACUGGUAGGCGAAAUGAUGAGAGUGGGGGAAAACUAUCAGUCCUUCUGCCAAAAGAGAUUUUAAAAACUCCUCCAGACAAGGAGAGAUGGCUGAAGAAGGAGAGGUGUGGACAGAAGAUGGUCUUGCCAGUGCUGGAGUGGAGAUGAUGUCUGAUCCUUUGGAGGUUUUGUGUGGGAAGUGCCUGUGGAAUCAUUGUUAUUUGGGAAGAAAACAACAGACCAGACCUUUCAUGGGGAACACUUUGUUACCAGAUAUGUAGUGUCUCUCCAAGGCACUCUGAAUACUAAUUUGAGGUGGGCCAAGGCCCAAAGCAGUAUGUCCCUAUACAAAAAUGUAAAAUAACAUU